CCCCACGAGCCGAGCGUGGUGUUGUCUCCGGCGUCGA
rnacentral:sRNA from 1 species